AACUGAAACAUCUAAGUACCCCGAGGAAAAGAAAUCAACCGAGAUUCCCCCAGUAGCGGCGAGCGAACGGGGAGGAGCCCAGAGCCUGAAUCAGUGUGUGUGUUAGUGGAAGCGUCUGGAAAGGCGUGCGAUACAGGGUGACAGCCCCGUACACAAAAAUGCACAUAUUGUGAGCUCGAUGAGUAGGGCGGGACACGUGGUAUCCUGUCUGAAUAUGGGGGGACCAUCCUCCAAGGCUAAAUACUCCUGACUGACCGAUAGUGAACCAGUACCGUGAGGGAAAGGCGAAAAGAACCCCGGCGAGGGGAGUGAAAAAGAACCUGAAACCGUGUACGUACAAGCAGUGGGAGCCUCUUUAUGGGGUGACUGCGUACCUUUUGUAUAAUGGGUCAGCGACUUAUAUUCUGUAGCAAGGUUAACCGAAUAGGGGAGCCGAAGGGAAACCGAGUCUUAACUGGGCGUUAAGUUGCAGGGUAUAGACCCGAAACCCGGUGAUCUAGCCAUGGGCAGGUUGAAGGUUGGGUAACACUAACUGGAGGACCGAACCGACUAAUGUUGAAAAAUUAGCGGAUGACUUGUGGCUGGGGGUGAAAGGCCAAUCAAACCGGGAGAUAGCUGGUUCUCCCCGAAAGCUAUUUAGGUAGCGCCUCGUGAAUUCAUCUCCGGGGGUAGAGCACUGUUUCGGCAAGGGGGUCAUCCCGACUUACCAACCCGAUGCAAACUGCGAAUACCGGAGAAUGUUAUCACGGGAGACACACGGCGGGUGCUAACGUCCGUCGUGAAGAGGGAAACAACCCAGACCGCCAGCUAAGGUCCCAAAGUCAUGGUUAAGUGGGAAACGAUGUGGGAAGGCCCAGACAGCCAGGAUGUUGGCUUAGAAGCAGCCAUCAUUUAAAGAAAGCGUAAUAGCUCACUGGUCGAGUCGGCCUGCGCGGAAGAUGUAACGGGGCUAAACCAUGCACCGAAGCUGCGGCAGCGACACUAUGUGUUGUUGGGUAGGGGAGCGUUCUGUAAGCCUGUGAAGGUGGCCUGUGAGGGUUGCUGGAGGUAUCAGAAGUGCGAAUGCUGACAUAAGUAACGAUAAAGCGGGUGAAAAGCCCGCUCGCCGGAAGACCAAGGGUUCCUGUCCAACGUUAAUCGGGGCAGGGUGAGUCGACCCCUAAGGCGAGGCCGAAAGGCGUAGUCGAUGGGAAACAGGUUAAUAUUCCUGUACUUGGUGUUACUGCGAAGGGGGGACGGAGAAGGCUAUGUUGGCCGGGCGACGGUUGUCCCGGUUUAAGCGUGUAGGCUGGUUUUCCAGGCAAAUCCGGAAAACCAAGGCUGAGGCGUGAUGACGAGGCACUACGGUGCUGAAGCGACAAAUGCCCUGCUUCCAGGAAAAGCCUCUAAGCAUCAGGUAACAUCAAAUCGUACCCCAAACCGACACAGGUGGUCAGGUAGAGAAUACCAAGGCGCUUGAGAGAACUCGGGUGAAGGAACUAGGCAAAAUGGUGCCGUAACUUCGGGAGAAGGCACGCUGAUAUGUAGGUGAAGCGACUUGCUCGUGGAGCUGAAAUCAGUCGAAGAUACCAGCUGGCUGCAACUGUUUAUUAAAAACACAGCACUGUGCAAACACGAAAGUGGACGUAUACGGUGUGACGCCUGCCCAGUGCCGGAAGGUUAAUUGAUGGGGUUAGCGGUAACGCGAAGCUCUUGAUCGAAGCCCCGGUAAACGGCGGCCGUAACUAUAACGGUCCUAAGGUAGCGAAAUUCCUUGUCGGGUAAGUUCCGACCUGCACGAAUGGCGUAAUGAUGGCCAGGCUGUCUCCACCCGAGACUCAGUGAAAUUGAACUCGCUGUGAAGAUGCAGUGUACCCGCGGCAAGACGGAAAGACCCCGUGAACCUUUACUAUAGCUUGACACUGAACAUUGAGCCUUGAUGUGUAGGAUAGGUGGGAGGCUUUGAAGUGUGGACGCCAGUCUGCAUGGAGCCGACCUUGAAAUACCACCCUUUAAUGUUUGAUGUUCUAACGUUGGCCCGUAAUCCGGGUUGCGGACAGUGUCUGGUGGGUAGUUUGACUGGGGCGGUCUCCUCCUAAAGAGUAACGGAGGAGCACGAAGGUUGGCUAAUCCUGGUCGGACAUCAGGAGGUUAGUGCAAUGGCAUAAGCCAGCUUGACUGCGAGCGUGACGGCGCGAGCAGGUGCGAAAGCAGGUCAUAGUGAUCCGGUGGUUCUGAAUGGAAGGGCCAUCGCUCAACGGAUAAAAGGUACUCCGGGGAUAACAGGCUGAUACCGCCCAAGAGUUCAUAUCGACGGCGGUGUUUGGCACCUCGAUGUCGGCUCAUCACAUCCUGGGGCUGAAGUAGGUCCCAAGGGUAUGGCUGUUCGCCAUUUAAAGUGGUACGCGAGCUGGGUUUAGAACGUCGUGAGACAGUUCGGUCCCUAUCUGCCGUGGGCGCUGGAGAACUGAGGGGGGCUGCUCCUAGUACGAGAGGACCGGAGUGGACGCAUCACUGGUGUUCGGGUUGUCAUGCCAAUGGCACUGCCCGGUAGCUAAAUGCGGAAGAGAUAAGUGCUGAAAGCAUCUAAGCACGAAACUUGCCCCGAGAUGAGUUCUCCCUGAGACUUAGAGUCUCCUGAAGGAACGUUGAAGACGACGACGUUGAUAGGCCGGGUGUGUAAGCGCAGCGAUGCGUUGAGCUAACCGGUACUAAUGAACCGUGAGGCUUAACCUU
rnacentral:rRNA from 2 species